CUAUUCUGCAGGUGUUGCUGAGGUGCUGAGUGCCCCAGGAGCAAGUGGAGCCCCCAGGCAGUGAUUAUACUCCAACUGCUGAGAAUCCCCUUGCCAAGGGGAACAGGAUCCCUGCCCCACUGCGGCCAGGCAAAAAUCUUUCUUCUAUGUGGCACAUCCUCUGGUUUUCAUCCUGUUUCCAAGGGACAACAAUCUGCAGAGCAUAAGGUCGCUCUCAGCUCCCAUUCAGAGGAGAGGCAUGAAGAGGAAAUGUAUAGUGGUGCUGUGCUUUGUUCUCCUCCAAGCCCAGGCUGAAGUCCAGGCUGCCUUGGCUGCUGCCAUGCAAAGCUUGCAGCUACCACUGCUUCCUGUGCCCGGAGCUCAAUGCAGCAGAGAGCAGUGCUGGGGUCUGGGCUGUGCAGCAUGGCCAGAGUGUGCAUUGAUCCUGCUAACAAAGGGAGCGCAUUUAGAACAACGCAAAACUAAGCAGCCCUUUGUAAAGCGAAAGCAGCUGGCUCAACUAAUUAAAUGUUAAAAAUACCAGCAAGAUGAGCAUACCAGAAAAUAAACAGGCGUCACAGCCAGGAUGGAAAGUGUUGGAAAUGA